UACAGAGGUCUCAAGCGUUGUUCGGAUUCAUUGGGCGUAAAGGGUGCGUAGGUGGCGCUGUAAGUCGGGUGUGAAAUUUCGAUGCUUAACUCCGAAACUGCAUUCGAUACUGCCGUGCUUGAGGACUGGAGAGGAGACUGGAAUUUACGGCGUAGCGGUGAAAUGCGUAGAUAUCGUAAGGAAGACCAGUGGCGAAGGCGGGUCUCUGGACAGUUCCUGACGCUGAGGCACGAAGGCCAGGGGAGCAAACGGG
rnacentral:rRNA from 1 species